rnacentral:rRNA from 1 species
AACGAACGCUGGCGGCAUGCCUAACACAUGCAAGUCGAACGAGACCUUCGGGUCUAGUGGCGCACGGGUGCGUAACGCGUGGGAACCUGCCCUUAGGUUCGGAAUAACUCCCCGAAAGGGGUGCUAAUACCGGAUAAUGUCUUCGGACCAAAGAUUUAUCGCCUUUGGAUGAGCCCGCGUUUGAUUAGCUAGGUGGUAGGGUAAAAGCCUACCAAGGCGACGAUCGGUAGCUGGUCUGAGAGGAUGAUCAGCCACACUGGGACUGAGACACGGCCCAGACUCCUACGGGAGGCAGCAGGGGGGAAUUUUGGAGGAUGGGCGAAAGGGUGAUCCAGCAAUACCGGGUGAAUGAUGAAGGCCUUAGGGUGGUAAAGCACUUUAGGCGCUAAGGAUAAGAAGCGUGUUUAUACCGGGAUGUUAUGACGGUACCCGGAGAAUAAGCACCGGCUAACUUCGUG